UCCAGCCAGGCCAACGACUGCGUUUCCAGGGGCCACGGCUGUCUUCCGCAGUCCGACUGUCCGCAGGAAGCUCGCCUUAGCUACGAAGGCUGCUCGACCGUCUGCUGUGACUUGUCGAAACUAACCGGCUGCAAGGGCAAGGGAGGCGAGUGCAACCCGCUCAACCGGGAUUGCAAAGAGCUGGAAGGAGAAAGCGCAUCCUGCCCCAAGGACCAGAAAUGCUGCGUAUGGCUCAACUAACGGAAGCUCGUCCCGUACGGCACCCAGCUAUUAGUGCUCUUGGGUUGCUAGGGACGCAGCCUACGACGUCGUCGUUAUGCUCAUUCGAACGCAAAACACUUAAAACGAGUUACGAAUAAAGGUGACGAAUAAA
rnacentral:lncRNA from 1 species